GAUGAACGCUAGCGGCAGGCUUAACACAUGCAAGUCGAGGGGUAUUGGUUUUCGGACCAAGAGACCGGCGCACGGGUGCGUAACGCGUAUGCAAUCUACCUUUUGCAGAGGGAUAGCCCAGAGAAAUUUGGAUUAAUACCUCAUAGUAUAGUACUUUGGCAUCAAGGAACUAUUAAAGUCACAACGGCAAAGAUGAGCAUGCGUCCCAUUAGCUAGUUGGUAAGGUAACGGCUUACCAAGGCAACGAUGGGUAGGGGUCCUGAGAGGGAGAUCCCCCACACUGGUACUGAGACACGGACCAGACUCCUACAGGAGGCAGCAGUGAGGAAUAUUGGACAAUGGGCGCAAGCCUGAUCCAGCCAUGCCGCGUGCAGGAUGACGGUCCUAUGGAUUGUAAACUGCUUUUAUACAGGAAGAAACACUACUUCGUGAAGUAGCUUGACGGUACUGUAAGAAUAAGGAUCGGCUAACUCCGUGCCAGCAGCC
rnacentral:rRNA from 1 species